GACGAACGCUGGCGGCGUGCCUAAUACAUGCAAGUCGAGCGGACGAAUCGAAAGCUUGCCUUUGAUUCGUUAGCGGCGGACGGGUGAGUAACACGUGGGCAACCUGCCCUGUAGACGGGGAUAACACCGAGAAAUCGGUGCUAAUACCGGAUAACACGAAAUGUCGCAUGACGUUUCGUUGAAAGACGGCGCAAGCUGUCGCUACAGGAUGGGCCCGCGGCGCAUUAGCUAGUUGGUGAGGUAACGGCUCACCAAGGCGACGAUGCGUAGCCGACCUGAGAGGGUGAUCGGCCACACUGGGACUGAGACACGGCCCAGACUCCUACGGGAGGCAGCAGUAGGGAAUCUUCCGCAAUGGACGAAAGUCUGACGGAGCAACGCCGCGUGAGCGAAGAAGGCCUUCGGGUCGUAAAGCUCUGUUGUUAGGGAAGAACAAGUAACGCAGUAACUGGCGUUACCGUGACGGUACCUAACGAGAAAGCCACGGCUAACUACGUG
rnacentral:rRNA from 1 species